UAGGGAAUCUUCCGCAAUGGACGCAAGUCUGACGGAGCAACGCCGCGUGAGUGAAGAAGGAUUUCGGUUCGUAAAACUCUGUUGUUAGAGAAGAACAGCGCAUAGAGUAACUGUUAUGCGUGUGACGGUAUCUAACCAGAAAGCCACGGCUAACUACGUGCCAGCAGCCGCGGUAAUACGUAGGUGGCAAGCGUUGUCCGGACUUAUUGGGCGUAAAGCGAGCGCAGGCGGUCAAUUAAGUCUGAUGUGAAAGCCCCCGGCUCAACCGGGGAGGGUCAGUGGAAACUGGUUGACUUGAGUGCAGAAGAGGAGAGUGGGAUUCCAUGUGUAGCGGUGAAAUGCGUUGAUAUAUGGAGGAACACCGGUGGCGAAAGCGGCUCUCUGGUCUGUAACUGACGCUGGGGCUCGAAAGCGUGGGGAGCGAACAGG
rnacentral:rRNA from 1 species